UCAUUGCAAUCCCUGCAAAACCAGAUUCAGGACUGGAGAGAGAAAAUAAGGGCUCCAUGUACUUGUGGAGACAGGAUUUGGACCCAGGUCUCUCCUCCCACCAAAGUCCAGGGUCUACAGGUCCGAGUUCAAAUCCCGGUUCCUGCACUCCCAGUCAUAUGACCAAAGAGGAUUCAGGUUCUGUGUCCAACUCAUGGGGACAGCAACACACUCAUCUCUCACAGUGAAGACCCAGUAAGAAAUGGCAGCUGUAGGCCGGGAGAGGAAGCUGAGAUCCUGAAAGAGGUGGGGCCCGGCCCGGGGUCACUCAGCAAUUUUCAGUAGCUGCUCCCUACUGGAGAACUGUGUGUCUGAGGUCGCGGCCAUCUGUCCAAAGAGUUUCUUCUGACCAAAGAGCUCAUUUUCAUAGGGUGACCACAGAGGACACCCGUGGGAAGAGGAGUCGGGGCAUCCCUUGCUGGAAAUACCCCAGCCCUGAAGGAUGCUGGCAACACCCACCAUUCAAUUCGGAACAAAAAGUCCACUCCAGGAGCCCCUGAGAGCGUCAAAAAGAACAAGAUUUCCCCCACUGGACUUUACCUCCAGAUGCCCAGGACAUGGGACAUCAUGCAAAGACCUAGCACGUGCUUUUCCUGACUGGGGAAGAACUGGGGACAGAAGGCCCGAUUUGCAUUUCUACUAUUUUCCCAGGAGAUGUUGAC